AGCGAACGCUGGCGGCGUGCUUAACACAUGCAAGUCGAGCGGGGAAAGUUUUCCUUCGGGAAGCGAGUACAGCGGCAGACGGGUGAGUACAACGUAGGUAACCUACCCUCGAGACCGGGAUAACCUGUCGAAAGACGGGCUAAUACCGGAUAAGACCACAAGGGCUGCGGCCUUUGAGGUAAAAGAUGGCCUCUGCUUGCAAAGCUAUCACUUUGGGGGAUGGGGCCUGCGCGCCAUUAGCAGUUGGUGAGGUAACGGCUCACC
rnacentral:rRNA from 1 species